GACGAACGCUGGCGGCGUGCUUAACACAUGCAAGUCGAGCGGUAAGGCCCUUUCGGGGGUACACGAGCGGCGAACGGGUGAGUAACACGUGGGUGACCUGCCCUCAGCUCUGGGAUAAGCCUGGGAAACCGGGUCUAAUACCGGAUAUGACUCCAUGACGCAUGUUGUGGGGUGGAAAGCCUUGUGCGGCUGAGGAGUGGGCCCGCGGCCUAUCAGCUUGUUGGUGGGGUGAUGGCCUACCAAGGCGACGACGGGUAGCCGGCCUGAGAGGGCGACCGGCCACAC
rnacentral:rRNA from 1 species